rnacentral:rRNA from 1 species
UACGUAGGGGGCGAGCGUUGUCCGGAUUCAUUGGGCGUAAAGCGCGCGCAGGCGGCUCAGAGAGCCCGGCGUGAAAGACCCCGGCUCAACCGGGGAGGGUCGUGCGAUACGGGCGGACUGGAGGCCAGUAGGGGGAUGCGGAAUUCCGGGUGUAGUGGUGGAAUGCGUAGAGAUCCGGAGGAACACCAGCGGCGAAGGCGGCAUCCUGGACUGGUCCUGACACUCAGGAGCGAAAGCGUGGGGAGCGAGUCCGG